rnacentral:rRNA from 1 species
ACUGCUCAGUAACACGUGGAUAACCUACCCUGAAGUGGGGGAUAAUCUUGGAAAACUGAGGAUAAUACCCCAUAGAUCUUCGAUACUGGAAUGUUCCUAGAUCAAAAGCUACGGCGCUUCAGGAUGGGUCUGCGGCCUAUCAGGUUGUAGUAAGUGUAAAGGACUCACUAGCCGACGACGGGUACGGGCUGUGGGAGCAGUUGCCCGGAGAUGGACUCUGAGACACGAGUCCAGGCCCUACGGGGCGCAGCAGGCGCGAAAACUUCACAAUGCGCGGAAGCGCGAUGAGGGGAUUCCAAGUGCGUGCACUAUGUGUACGCUGUUUACUAGUCUAAAACGCUAGUAGAGUAAGGGCUGGGUAAGACUGGUGCCAGCCGCCGCGGUAAUACCAGCGGCCCUAGUGGUGAUCGUUAUUAUUGGGCCUAAAGCGUCCGUAGCCGGUUCGGUAAAUCUCUGGGUAAAUCGUUGGGCUUAACUCAACGAAUUCUGGGGAGACUGCCGAACUUGGGACCGGGAGAGGUCGGAGGUACUCCAGGGGUAGGGGUGAAAUCCUGUAAUCCUUGGGGGACCACCGGUGGCGAAGGCGUCCGACCAGAACGGGUCCGACGGUAAGGGACGAAGCCCUGGGGCGCGAACCGGAUUAGAUACCCGGGUAGUCCAGGGUGUAAACGCUGUGCGCUUGGUGUUGGGGGUCCUCCGUGGGCACCCAGUGCCGGAGAGAAGUUGUUAAGCGCACCGCCUGGGGAGUACGGUCGCAAGACUGAAACUUAAAGGAAUUGGCGGGGGAGCACAGCAACGGGAGGAGCGUGCGGUUUAAUUGGAUUCAACGCCGGA